rnacentral:rRNA from 1 species
GACGAACGCUGGCGGCGUGCCUAAUACAUGCAAGUCGAGCGAAGCGGCGGAUGGGUGAGUAACGCGUGGGUAACCUGCCCUUAAGUCUGGCAUUCCAUUUGGCUACAUAUGCUAAUACCGGAUACUAAAGGAUGGACCUGCGAUUCCUUAGCUAGUUGGUCAGGUAACGGCUUACAAAGGCGAUGAUGCAUAGCCGAGUUGAGAGAAUGAUCGGCCACACUGGAACUGAGACACGGCCCAAACUCCUACGGGAGGCAGCAGUAGGGAAGCUUCCGCAAUGGGCGAAAGCCUGACGGAGCAACGCCGCGUGAGUGAUGAAGGUCUUCGGAUCGUAAAACUCUGUUAUUAGGGAAGCGGUACCUAAUCAGAAAGCCACGGCUAACUACGUGCCAGCAGCCGCGGUAAUUC